CGUCAAGGGGCUUCCUGUUGAAUGUCUGUAACGAUAAAAUGGCCUUCCUGUGAUGAAGAUAACCAACGACACUGCCAUGACUGCCUGUGAUCAUCAUCAAACUGGUCCGCUCCAAAGCUCUCCAAAGAGGGUUUAUGCCCUCCAGUUCCUACUGAGAUCAUGUAAAUGGCAAGGAAAAAUACCCCCUCGUGAACCUUCCUAGGCUCUAUGCACAUAUCAGUCUCACAAGCCUUUAAUCCUGGUAUGAACCAAGACAACGUCAGGAGAAUCAGACCCUACAGUAUGUCAAUAUCAAGCACAGAAUUUUGUCAGUCUUAAGACCCUGAAAUGUACCAAAUUUUGAGACUAAUGAUCUGGUCUUUAGAUUUAAAGGAGAAUUACCAUGAGAUAGA